rnacentral:rRNA from 1 species
UACGAAGGGAGCUAGCGUUGUUCGGAAUUACUGGGCGUAAAGCGCACGUAGGCGGCUUUGUAAGUUAGAGGUGAAAGCCCGGGGCUCAACUCCGGAAUUGCCUUUAAGACUGCAUCGCUAGAAUUGUGGAGAGGUGAGUGGAAUUCCGAGUGUAGAGGUGAAAUUCGUAGAUAUUCGGAAGAACACCAGUGGCGAAGGCGGCUCACUGGACGAUUGUUGACGCUGAGGUGCGAAAGCGUGGGGAGCAAACAGG